rnacentral:rRNA from 1 species
GACGAACGCUGGCGGCGUGCUUAACACAUGCAAGUCGAACGGAAAGGCCCUGCUUUUGUGGGGUGCUCGAGUGGCGAACGGGUGAGUAACACGUGAGUAACCUGCCCUUGACUUUGGGAUAACUUCAGGAAACUGGGGCUAAUACCGGAUAGGAGCUCCUGCUGCAUGGUGGGGGUUGGAAAGUUUCGGCGGUUGUGGAUGGACUCGCGGCUUAUCAGCUUGUUGGUGGGGUAGUGGCUUACCAAGGCUUUGACGGGUAGCCGGCCUGAGAGGGUGACCGGCCACAUUGGGACUGCGAUACGGACCAGACUCCUACGGGAGGCAGAAGUGGGGAAUAUUGCACAAUGGGCGGACGCCUGAUGCAGCAACGCCGCGUGCGGGAUGACGGCCUUCGGGUUGUAAACCGCUUUCGCCUGUGACGAAGCGUGAGUGACGGUAAUGGGUAAAGAAGCACCGGCUAACUACGUG